AGCGAACGCUGGCGGCAGGCUUAACACAUGCAAGUCGAACGCACUCUUCGGAGUGAGUGGCAGACGGGUGAGUAACACGUGGGAACGUGCCCUUCAGUUCGGAAUAACCCAGGGAAACUUGGGCUAAUACCGGAUACGCCCUUCGGGGGAAAGAUUUAUUGCUGAAGGAUCGGCCCGCGUCUGAUUAGCUAGUUGGUGGGGUAAUGGCCUACCAAGGCGACGAUCAGUAGCUGGUCUGAGAGGAUGAUCAGCCACACUGGGACUGAGACACGGCCCAGACUCCUACGGGAGGCAGCAGUGGGGAAUAUUGGACAAUGGGCGAAAGCCUGAUCCAGCCAUGCCGCGUGAGUGAUGAAGGCCUUAGGGUUGUAAAGCUCUUUUAUCCGGGAAGAUAAUGACUGUACCGGAAGAAUAAGCCCCGGCUAACUUCGUGCCAGCCGCCGCCGUAAUAC
rnacentral:rRNA from 1 species